AGUAAAAUACCACCUGACUUGGUGUGGGGUACUUUAGUGUGAUGAGAUUAGAAAAGUAGCUGGCAGAGACACUGUGAGAAGGAACUGAAGGACACAGCAGAAGUCCUGAACCUCGUGCACAUCCUCACAUGUCUUGCCAAGCAUCCUGUCAGAGGGAGAAGGGAUUUUGUUGACUCUCUACUCUCCUCCUCUCCAGAUACUCUGUGGUUCUUGUCAUCUGUGCCUUCUGCAACCUCCAUACCCAUAGUAUCAUCACAGAAGCAAUGUUUAUCCUCGAGGAGAAGGAAUUAUUUAUUUUAGGGGAUACAAAAGCUGCAUAGAUCUUUUCUUACUUUACAACCUCAGUGGGUCUCAGAAAUAUGUGGCAAUUAUCCUGCCAGAAUUACCAUUCUGAUUUGCAAACACAGGCAUAGAUUUCUGAACUCUGCUGAGAUUUGCCUGAGGGACAGAUGGAAGAAUGCAGAGGCCACCUUAGCAGUCUUCAAGAAGGAAAAGCAACCACGACCUCCCUGUGACAAAGGAAAAUGCAUAUGUAGUUAUUUGUGUGCUUUGAAGAGCUGCUCAGUAGAGUUGCUGGACCAAAGGCAGUUCAAGAUAAGAAUUGGUUGCAGCAAAUAUGGAACUGAAAGUUUAGAAUUUCAAGCCAGAGAAAUUUCCUCUGUGAAAAGCAGUUUAAAAUUAAUUAACAAGAAAAUUUCGUUACCACUACUGAAGGAGAAUGGCACUGUUGGCAAACCUCCGGGCCUCACUAUUACAAACGUAGAAGCAGAAGUUGGGGUGUUCUUUUAGGAAUCAGCUGUUACACCUGUUGUGUAAAUUACAGCACAUUGUCAAAUGAGUAAUAGUGGAUUGGUUAAAAACCUGGAAUAAAUCCAAUGUACCAAUGGCUUUCUGUCAAUCUGUCAAGUCACUUAAAGAGAAAUUUUGCAAAGUUCUGCCUGGGGUCUGGUUCUGUUCAAUAUUUUCAUUAAUAGCUUGAAUAGAUGAAAUAAAGGAAA